rnacentral:lncRNA from 1 species
UAUAAAAUUAAAGAAUCUCUAGAUCUAAGAUCUUAUUACAUGAUUAUUACAUAACAUUAAAUCAAAAAUUAAAAUAUAAAGAGCAAGAACUACAUGUUGAUCAUAUCAACAUGUUUCUAUACUACAUCUAAUGUAUGUAAAAUAUAAUAGAUCAGAUCUAUUACCUUGCAAGUUAGAUAUUCUAACUUUGCUGAUCUGGGCUUGAGGAUGA